rnacentral:rRNA from 1 species
UACGAAGGGUGCAAGCGUUACUCGGAAUUACUGGGCGUAAAGCGUGCGUAGGUGGUUUGUUAAGUCUGCUGUGAAAGCCCCGGGCUCAACCUGGGAAUGGCAGUGGAUACUGGCAAGCUAGAGUAGCGGUAGAGGGUAGUGGAAUUCCCGGUGUAGCGGUGAAAUGCGUAGAGAUCGGGAGGAACACCAGUGGCGAAGGCGGCUACCUGGACCAGCACUGACACUGAGGCACGAAAGCGUGGGGAGCAAACAGGG